GACGGUUUGGUCGAGUGGUCUAAGGCUCCGAUUUAGGCUCUGGUCCGAAAGGGCGUGGGUUCGAAUCCACAGCCGUUA
rnacentral:tRNA from 1 species